UUCAGGUCUGGGACAACCACUGGAAACGGUGGCUAAUACCGGAUGUGCCGAGAGGUGAAAGGUUAACUGCCUGAAGAUGAGCUCGCGUCUGAUUAGCUAGUAGGUAGUGUAAAGGACUACCUAGGCGACGAUCAGUAGCUGGUCUGAGAGGACGAUCAGCCACACUGGGACUGAGACACGGCCCAGACUCCUACGGGAGGCAGCAGUGGGGAAUUUUCCGCAAUGGGCGAAAGCCUGACGGAGCAAUACCGCGUGAGGGAGGAAGGCUCUUGGGUCGUAAACCUCUUUUCUCAGGGAAGAACACAAUGACGGUACCUGAGGAAUAAGCAUCGGCUAACUCCGUGCCAGCAGCCGCGGUAAUACGGAGGAUGCAAGCGUUAUCCGGAAUGAUUGGGCGUAAAGCGUCCGCAGGUGGCUAUGUAAGUCUGCUGUUAAAGAGUCUAGCUCAACUAGAUAAGAGCAGUGGAAACUACAUGGCUAGAGUGCGUUCGGGGCAGAGGGAAUUCCUGGUGUAGCGGUGAAAUGCGUAGAGAUCAGGAAGAACACCGGUGGCGAAGGCGCUCUGCUAGGCCGC
rnacentral:rRNA from 1 species